GUCCAUGCCGUAAACGUUGGGCACUAGGUGUGGGGGACAUUCCACGUUUUCCGCGCCGUAGCUAACGCAUUAAGUGCCCCGCCUGGGGAGUACGGCCGCAAGGCUAAAACUCAAAGGAAUUGACGGGGGCCCGCACAAGCGGCGGAGCAUGCGGAUUAAUUCGAUGCAACGCGAAGAACCUUACCAAGGCUUGACAUGGACCGGACCGGGCUGGAAACAGUCCUUCCCCUUUGGGGCCGGUUAACAGGUGGUGCAUGGUUGUCGU
rnacentral:rRNA from 1 species